rnacentral:rRNA from 1 species
UACGAAGGGGGCUAGCGUUGCUCGGAUUGACUGGGCGUAAAGGGCUCGUAGGCGGCCAACUAAGUCAGGGGUGAAAUCCUGGAGCUCAACUCCAGAACUGCCUUUGAUACUGGCGACCUUGAGUCCGGGAGAGGUGAGUGGAACUGCGAGUGUAGAGGUGAAAUUCGUAGAUAUUCGCAAGAACACCAGUGGCGAAGGCGGCUCACUGGCCCGAUACUGACGCUGAGGCACGAAAGCGUGGGAGCAAACAGG